UUUUCUUCUGGGCCAUCAGGAUGUUGAUGCUCUGAUACCAAUUUGAUGGGAAACCGCUAGAAGAGAAUAUUAAUGGACGAUUUUAUUUAUAGAAACUGAAUGUGAACAUAGAAAUUGAAAUACAGAAAAAUAACUAGCUUUCUACUCAAUCAUUGCCUAUCUAUCUCCUACUUUUUCCCCCUAUUUAUAACCUGUAUCUAACAAAUAUAUUCCCUCUUCCCAC
rnacentral:lncRNA from 1 species